GCCUUGCUAGCUCAAUCGGUAGAGCGUGUGACUCUUAAUCACAAGGUUUGCGGGUUCAAGCCCCGCGUAGGGCU
rnacentral:tRNA from 1 species